UGACAAGCAAAACUAAAUGGAAAUUUUUCUAAAUCAAAUUUACGUUGUAGCAUUUUUUCUAUACGAGGAUUUUGUUGGUUUUUUUUGGAGCUAUUUGGAACCUUUAUCUAUAGUAUCCAUAUGGUAAUGUCUACCAUGUAUUUCUUUUCGGCAUUCCAUUCCAGCCAUUCCUAGGAAGAAUGGUGUAAGAUAUUCCCAUGACAUCUGUAUGGAUCUUGGACACCUAUGGAACCAUUUGAAUGGGAAUGCGAAUCGGUGGGUCGGAGGGUUGAAUGGUUUGAGGGUAAAAUAACCGCGGCAAUCAUGAACAUUCAGGUGCACCGCAGAGGCAGAGGCAGCAGCAAAAGUUACAACCAAAGCAACAGCAACAAAAACAAUGUAGAGUAAUAAUAACAACAAUGCCCCCCGAAAAAACGAGAAAAGUGCAAAUGGAAAAUGGAAAAUGGAAAACGGGAAACUGAAUUGUUUAUUGUCUCGCUGGGGCACCCCAGUGGUUGUCGGGUGGUAUGUGGUGUUUCCGAUUUGCUGAUGUGUUGCACAAAUCGAUUCAUUCGGCCAUAAGUAAAGUUUUAACCGGAGUUGAAGUAGCCAAAUUAAUUGCAAUUAUAGGGGUUCAGUGAAGCGAUGAACUAUCGAGAUGCCGGAAUCUGUGCUCUUGACUGGGCCCAAAUCCAUGUACAAAAACUCGGCCUGCUUCCGAAUCAACAACUCCAUCUAAAAAACUAAUCACUCCUUCGUUAUUUUAAAGCAUAUUUAUUCAUCUUCGAUUCAACCA